rnacentral:rRNA from 1 species
GGUAGUAGCAAACACACAAAUGAGAACCUUGAGCACUGCAGUGUACAAGGUUUCCAUGUGAACAGCAUGAACAUGGGUCAAUCAGCCCUUAGUGAAAGGAGAAAUCCUUAUAGAAGCGAAAUACCGCCCCCUUCCUCCCAAACAAAAACUAAAAACGCGAAACAGUGGCAUAUUGGUAGCCCUCAAUUACUGGAUAAUUUAUGUUACAACAGCACGUCUACCUGUGCCCAUUAGUUAAAAACUACGUAUGAGAAGAAUUUUAUUG